rnacentral:rRNA from 1 species
AUUGAACGCUGGCGGCAGGCCUAACACAUGCAAGUCGAGCGCGAAAGGCCUUCGGGCUGAGUAGAGCGGCGGACGGGUGAGUAACGCGUAGGAAUCUACCUGGUAGUGGGGGACAACUUGGGGAAACUCAAGCUAAUACCGCAUACGCCCUAAGGGGGAAAGCGGGGGACCUUCGGGCCUCGCGCUAGCAGCUGAGCCUGCGUAGGAUUAGCUAGUUGGUGAGGUAAAGGCUCACCAAGGCGACGAUCCUUAGCUGGUCUGAGAGGAUGAUCAGCCACACUGGGACUGAGACACGGCCCAGACUCUUACGGGAGGCAGCAGUGGGGAAUAUUGCGCAAUGGGGGCAACCCUGACGCAGCCAUGCCGCGUGUGUGAAGAAGGCCUUCGGGUUGUAAAGCACUUUCAAUGGGGAAGAAAAGCGUAGCGUUAAUAGCGUUGCGCCGUGACGUUACCCAUAGAAGAAGCACCGGCUAACUCCGUGCCAGCAGCCGCCGUAAAAC